ensembl:snoRNA LOC120101285 small nucleolar RNA SNORA17
CCUGCCCCUAGAGGCAUUACAGGUGGGGCUGAUGUGUCAUGUGUGCAUCAAUAGGAGGCAGAGAGGAGACAGGCUAUUUCUAAGCUCAGUGUUCUGACCCAUGAAUGUCUGAAUGAUUAACAGCCUAACAUU